rnacentral:lncRNA from 1 species
AUUUGUACAUGGCUGAGUCUGUCUGUGGGUUUGUGUACAUGAGUAAAAUGUUCAUGGAAACCAGAAGAGUGCAUUGGAUCCCCAAGAGCUGUAGUUAUAGGUGGUUAGGAGUUACCUAACCUGAGUGCUAGGAAUUUAGCUCAGGCCCUAUACAAGAGCCUAGUGCACUCUUUCCCACAGAGCUAUCACUUCAGCUCCUACAACUUACUUUUAUUUCAUUCCAGAGAAGUAGCUGACCCUGUAACUCAUACCAAGCAAGGUUACUAAGAAUCAUUGGCUUCCAAUUUGAAGCCAUUAUUAUUCAUGCUAUCAGUGACGCCUUUUUUUAAAUCCAUACAGUUGCCAAGAAUAUUGUGUCUGAAGACUUUACAGAAUGCAUUCUUUGUAAUACUUAUACUCCUUAGUCUUGAUGUAAUACAGAAACUCAUGUAAAUUAAUCAUGUAAUUGCUCAUGUACCCCAUAAUACCACAUGAAAUCACGGUUAAUGGAUGGUGUUUCUUUUAUUUGACAUAUGGCGAUUGCCAAUUAAAUAUGCAUUAACGUUGUUUGCAGAUACACUAUAAACAUUUAUUAUAUUAUUUGGAUACAUUAUCAAACCAGGAGUAUCCAGCGAUCCAGAUUUUCAAAUUACAACUUCUAUAGUGUUCCACAGAAAAUGAGAACUAGGUCAUUCAGAUUUUUUGCAGAAUUUACAGAGACAUUUCUAUCUAUAUAAUAAGUGGAGUUUAACUGUGGAUGAGUUAGACACCUACUUCAGUUUCCAAGGUUCUUUUAUUCAUCCAUUUAUAUUUUCUCUCUGUCUUUUGAGCUUCUUCUAGAUUGUUCUUAUGCAUCAUUUCAGUCAAUACUCUCAGCCUCCAUCCUUCCCACAUUCAUCUUGAGCCAAAAGCUUAUGGAAUAUCUGUUUGAAUACAGAAGGGUUCUUGUGACAUGACAGCAAAGGGCUAGUGAUGCUAUGUAGAAUAAGCUCCCUCUACAACGCUUACUUCAACUUGCUUAUAAUUCUUCCCUGGAUCUGUUACUAUCCCAGGAUUCGUUAAUUUUCCGAAUUAAGCAAAAGCAAGGAUUUCUGUAAACCCUAGAAGCCAUGUGUAGGAAUAAAUGUAAAAAAAAAAUGAGCAAUUAUAAUUCAUUAAUUAAAUUUGGACAUUUAAAUUACAUUCGUGAUCAUUCUCUGAUUUAAUCUUCACGUCAACUUUGUGAGAUAGGGAAGACAGGCUCUUAGCCAGAUACUGUCACCAUGAUGAUAGUCAGCAACUAACUACAAAACUCUGAUGGUAUGAAAUGUGAACAUGCUUUGAGUCUUGCCUGUGAGUCCUCGGGUCUGCUGUGACAGGUAUGACUUCAUUUUCAGAGCAGGUCUUUUGCAUUCUGAGGCCUGGGAUGAAGGGGCAGAGCUACCUAUUGCCUGUUCUGUUGGCUGAGAUCAAAAGUUUUCAGAAGAGAACGUGGAAACAUGUAAGCCUCAGUCACAUGACCACAUCUCCCUGGUCAACAUGCACAUCAAGCUGUGACUUCCAUCCUCAUUCUUCCCGAAGCUCAAACUGACCUUGAGAACUUAGUAGAAAACCUUUCAAAGUUAAUGCAAAAGACUUUGAAAGAUAGUAACUAUUAAACCAAAAUCUGAACCCUCCCCCGAUAAUAAAUACCUUUAAGCUCAGUUUGCUUUAAGAAGCUCAAAUUUAUGCGAAUGGCAUGUGUUUGUUCUUAGCAUUUAGUGCAGGAUGAUGUGUGUAGGUUUCCUAAAGUAGUUCUAGAAGCAAUAGCUUUAACUCCAAACCUAAAGACUUAGAGAAAACCCUUUCAAGUCUAGACAAAAGAUGUGCUUCCCCUACAUGAAAACUCUACUGUCCACUCCCUUUCUAGUGUCUAGACAUUUAUAGCCGCUCUUUAACUUAUGAUAAAACUGGAAGACCUUUGUGACAUGCUGAAUUUCUCUCCAGAUCCCAUCAUCCCAUGUUAGUCCAUCCUGAUUUGACUUUAAUCACUUUUGCCCUUCGCUGUAGCUCUUACACACAAUAGAUACCAUGUUGUGUGUUCUUCUGUUGUUAGCCAAAUUAAGACAUUUAUGGAGUGAGACAGGGUGGAAGAAAGAACAAAACAAAUAAUUUUAAAAAGCUGUAUGCUCUCGGGAGCACCUGCUUAAGAAAGGAAUCAGCUCCUCUCUUGCUCUGCCAUUUUUAUUAAUUACCAUUGGUACAUGGAUGUUCUCUUUAUAAUCAAAAUUGAAUUACAUCUUUGGAGAUUAAGUUUCCUAAAAGAGCUUAAGGGCAGGAUCAGAGGGGAUUCACAUCGUCUCUAAUGCUCCCUUUUGACACUGUCCCCAUCUCUAAAUCUCUCCCCAUGCCUGAGUCUAGCCUGAACCCACAAAAGGGCAUGAGCCCCCUCCUUCUGCUCUUAAUUCCCAUCAUUGUAUAUCUCAGAAUGGGCCUGGUUUAAACAGCUCCAGUCACCCAGAUUUCAACAACAAUACAACUACUAUAGGCAGGAGCAAAGAGAUAAAGCAAAGGCGUAGUGAACGUUUUAUUUGGGUGGCUACUAUUUCAUAUUUUUAAGUGGAAUACUCUUUGAAUUGGAGGUGGCAGUAGGCUGUGUCUUUAUUAUUGAAAAGCUUUUGCCAGAGCUAGAAUGAUGGCUCAGUCAAUAAAACACUGGCCUCAAAAGCACGAGGACCUGAUUUUUAGAUCCCUAACACAGUAUAAAAAGCCAACUGUGGUGACACAAGCUUGUCAAGCCAGAGAUGGCAAGAUGGCAGCCAGAAACAGGCACAUGCUGAAGCUCACUUGCCAGGUUCCUUGGGAUAGUUGAUGAAGUUCCAGGCAAAUUAGAGCAUCUGCCUCAAACAAAAGGUGUAAGGUACCAACAUCCAUCAUUGUCCUUUGGUCUCCGCAUUUGAACACCCAAACAUGAACAGCACAUACAUGUGUGUCGCGCACGCAUGUCCCCCCCCCCACACACACACACUAUGUUAAAUAUAAAAAUCAGUGAAGCACAGAUGGAUUAGGGGCUCUGGAUUGUCCUGUGGGCUACUGAGGAAAGGAAUCCUUCUCUCCACUUUGGGCAAGUAGUGAACACUGCAGAUCCCUAAGAUACUUAAUGGUCCUCUAAGGAAACAGGAAGCUUUGUUUGGGAAACCAAAGCGUAUAAACAACUAAACGUCAAGUUGGGCAUCCAAACAAAACCUAUGAAAAGAACAUCUGUAGAAGAUCUUUAAAAUAGAGUCUUUGUCCUUUGAAUGGACAAUUAGAAGUCGGCACACUACUUGCUCCUGUCUCCGCACUAUACUUUUGUUCUGAAAAAGUGCCGCUUUUCACUUCUAAUAUUUCCUACACUUCUUCAAUAUCUUACCAUGCCUCAAAAUAACUCCACAGAAAGAACAGCAGACAGCAGGUUGCCUUGCUAACAUGAAGCGGUCACCUCUGAACCACACCUGACUUGUGAGGCUUUCAUUUCCUUGAUGUCAUGGUGGCAAACUGCUUGGUUGCCGGGUGAACAGUCGUGGUAACAGCUACAAACCUGACGGCCAGUUCUGAGAAAGCUCCUUCUGCCCUUGAGGGAACUUCCACAGGAACAUUAGCCAUUGGUUAAGUGAGAACCCAAGUUUUUAUCUUUAACUGAGAGCAGAAAGGCGGUAUCUCAGUACAUUCUUCACUUUCUAUCGCAUCUUUGAUGAGGAACAACCCACGCAUUGACCCCGGCUUUGGAAGACACAGCAUGGUUACUCUGCCACAUGUGUGUGCUGGGUCAUGCAGUCAUUCAAAUAAUGAUUACCCUGAAACAUAAAGGCAGCUGCAAUAAUGGGUUCUACUGAGGACCGGAUGAAAUCAAGGCAAACAUCCAGCU